AUGAUGGACUAUAGGACAGGACUGCUGCUGCUCACUGUCUGCUGGGCAGGUGUUGAUGGUCAGACUCUGACAGAAUCUGAUUCAGUGACUAAAAGUCCUGGAGAAUCUCACAGAUUGACCUGUACAGCCUCUGGAUUCACAUUCAGUAGCUCCUACAUGGCCUGGGUCAGACAGGCUCCUGGGAAAGGACUGGAGUGGAUCGCUUAUAUCUACACUGAUGGUAGCAACCAGUUCUACUCUGAGUCAGUGAAAGGCCGGUUCACCAUCUCCAGAGACAACAGCAUACAGCAGCUGUAUCUGCAGAUGAGCAGUCUGACGGCUGUAGACUCUGCUGUUUAUUACUGUGCUCGAGAGACACAGUGACUGAAGCUGGUUGAGCAGCUGUACAAAAACCCCUCAUUAUUACCACAGUUUUCUCACACUGUUAAUGUGAGAUUUGGAGUCUUUCAAAUAU